rnacentral:rRNA from 1 species
UGGGGAAUAUUGCACAAUAGGCGCAAGCCUGAUGCAGCCAUGCCGCGUGUAUGAAGAAGGCCUUCGGGUUGUAAAGUACUUUCAGCGGGGAGGAAGGCGAUAAGGUUAAUAACCUUGUCGAUUGACGUUACCCGCAGAAGAAGCACCGGCUAACUCCGUGCCAGCAGCCGCGGUAAUACGGAGGGUGCAAGCGUUAAUCGGAAUUACUGGGCGUAAAGCGCACGCAGGCGGUCUGUCAAGUCGGAUGUGAAAUCCCCGGGCUCAACCUGGGAACUGCAUUCGAAACUGGCAGGCUAGAGUCUUGUAGAGGGGGGUAGAAUUCCAGGUGUAGCGGUGAAAUGCGUAGAGAUCUGGAGGAAUACCGGUGGCGAAGGCGGCCCCCUGGACAAAGACUGACGCUCAGGUGCGAAAGCGUGGGGAGCAAACA